GACAGAGGGCCCGGGUGUUACUCGUUUUGAUUGGGUGUAAAGGGUAAGUAGGCGGUCCACUGUUAAUUCUGGGUUAAAGCGCGGAGAGUUCCUACGCGAGAGCCCGGUUUGCUGCGUGUGACUUGUGUUGAGGAGGGGUUGAGGCAAAUUCGUAGCGUAAGGGUAAAAUCUGAAAAUGUACGAAUGAACACCAGCUGGCAAAGGCGCUUUUCCUGUCUCAACAGACGCUGAGGUACGGAAGCGUAGGGAGCAAACGGG
rnacentral:rRNA from 1 species